rnacentral:rRNA from 1 species
GCUCAGGAUGAACGCUAGCUACAGGCUUAACACAUGCAAGUCGAGGGGUAGCAGGGUAGCAAUACCGCUGACGACCGGCGCACGGGUGAGUAACACGUAUCCAACCUUCCCAUAACUCGGGGAUAGCCUUUCGAAAGAAAGAUUAAUACCCGAUAGUACUUAUAUAAGGCAUCUUAAAUAAGUUAAAGAUUUAUUGGUUAUGGAUGGGGAUGCGUUCCAUUAGAUAGUUGGUGAGGUAACGGCUCACCAAGUCUUCGAUGGAUAGGGGUUCUGAGAGGAAGGUCCCCCACAUUGGUACUGAGACACGGACCAAACUCCUACGGGAGGCAGCAGUGAGGAAUAUUGGUCAAUGGGCGAGAGCCUGAACCAGC